rnacentral:rRNA from 1 species
UACGAAGGGGGCGAGCGUUGUUCGGAUUUACUGGGCGUAAAGGGCGCGUAGGCGGCCGAUCAAGUCAGGCGUGAAAGCCCCGGGCUCAACCUGGGAAUGGCGCUUGGGACUGGUUGGCUUGAGUUCGGGAGAGGAGAGUGGAAUUCCCAGUGUAGAGGUGAAAUUCGUAGAUAUUGGGAAGAACACCGGUGGCGAAGGCGGCUCUCUGGACCGAGACUGACGCUGAAAACCGAAAGCUAGGGGAGCAAACGGG